GGAAGUAAAAAUCGUAACAAGGUUUCCGUAGGUGAACCUGCGGAAGGAUCAUUACCGAGUGCGGGUCCUUUGGGCCCAACCUCCCAUCCGUGUCUAUUGUACCCUGUUGCUUCGGCGGGCCCGCCGCUUGUCGGCCGCCGGGGGGGCGCCUCUGCCCCCCGGGCCCGUGCCCGCCGGAGACCCCAACACGAACACUGUCUGAAAGCGUGCAGUCUGAGUUGAUUGAAUGCAAUCAGUUAAAACUUUCAACAAUGGAUCUCUUGGUUCCGGCAUCGAUGAAGAACGCAGCGAAAUGCGAUAACUAAUGUGAAUUGCAGAAUUCAGUGAAUCAUCGAGUCUUUGAACGCACAUUGCGCCCCCUGGUAUUCCGGGGGGCAUGCCUGUCCGAGCGUCAUUGCUGCCCUCAAGCCCGGCUUGUGUGUUGGGUCGCCGUCCCCCUCUCCGGGGGGACGGGCCCGAAAGGCAGCGGCGGCACCGCGUCCGAUCCUCGAGCGUAUGGGGCUUUGUCACAUGCUCUGUAGGAUUGGCCGGCGCCUGCCGACGUUUUCCAACCAUUCUUUCCAGGUUGACCUCGGAUCAGGUAGGGAUACCCGCUGAACUUAAGCAUAUCAAUA
rnacentral:rRNA from 1 species